CGAAACUCGCCAAAAACAUGGUGUAAAAGCUAAAUAUAUUCAUACAUACUUUAAAUCAAAUAACUGAAGAAUAAAAUUACUUUUACAGUGACACGUGGGCCCCCAACUGACUAAGAAGAUGUAGGGCUACGAACCCUUACUUUCUAGGAUGCAACUCUGAGAUUAAUUCUCGUCUUAAUCAACUAUCAACAAAUUGUCCUGAGCCUGAAAAAUGGAUAGGAAGAGGGGGGAGAUUAAAUAAUCCCAGUGAGUAAACAAUUACCAUCAAAAGCAUCUAAAACCGAGUAGAUUGAGACAAUAUAAAAACGUUAUAUCUCAAUAAUGUUCAUAACACAAAAUUCGUUUCAAUCUAUACCAAAUAAUUUCUUUUCAUCAAAAUUUCUCAGCUUAUGAAUUUCUUAAACUUGGCCCCUACCAGAAUCAUUCUCGCGGGUACCUUCGCCAAGGUAUCCCAUUGAGACCACCAAGACUGUUCAAUGACCCAUACCCAUAAAUAUGUUUUCACAUCUAACACACAACCGUUCCUUGACGUUGGCUGAGUCUCACUCUCACGUGGUGGCCCGAACGUGAGGUGCACUCAAAUCAUACCUUAGGAGAUAUUUCACCCAACAUCUCCCCCUCGGAGGUGAAUAUAUAAUUGAGUUACCAUGCUCCUCUCGUAGGCAGUCCACGAAAACCCCCACCACUGCAGUGACCGUGAGGUGCAUUCAAAUCUUACCUCAGGAGAUACUUCAUCCAACAUCUCCCCCCGGAGGUAAAUAUAUAAUUGGGUUACCGUGCCCCUCUCAUAGGCAGUCCACAAAAACCCCUACCACUACAGUGACUGUUUAAUAUACCACCAGACCCAUAAAAAUUCCAGUAGCAUAAUAUAACGAAUAAAAUGUAAUCCAGUCUAUCGAGACCAAUCCAAAACUAUUCAUAUAUUUCAUGCCAACCCCAAAAAUUUAGCCAUCAUGCUACCAUAGUGUCAUAAGCCACAAUUUCAAUAACAUAUAAAAUCAUAAAUUUCAACAUAGUCUCAAUAUACUCAAUUUUUCCAAAACAAUAUAUGAUUUCAAAACCAGUAUAAAUUUCAUUUUUAUUAAAAAAACAUUUUAAUUGGAAAACAUAAUAUUUUAUAAUUUAAGCUCACCAUUCAAUAAAAACAUCAAACAAGUAUAAUUACUCUAGAUAUUUAAGACGAUAAAUUGUCCACUCACAGUUCUAGAAGUCGAUGUACUCCUAAUCUCAGUCUUCAAGCACAAUUUCUGUACUUUUACCAGUGUAAUUUGCUCACCACCUAUCCACAAUGUACAAUACAUAAUUCACCACAUCAAUGCUUG
rnacentral:lncRNA from 1 species